CACGGAGUUAGCCGAUGCUUUUUCUCCGGGUACGCUCACACUCCCACUCGUGGAAGCUCUUGUUCCCCGGCAAAAGAGGUUUACGAUACGCUGUACCUUCUUCCCUCACGCGGCUUGGCUGGUUCAGUCUCCCGACCAUUGACCAAUAUUCCUCACUGCUGCCUCCCGUAGGAGUCUGGUCCGUGUCUCAGUACCAGUGUGGGGGCCUUCCUCUCAGAACCCCUACGCAUCGUCGCCACGGUGGGCCGUUACCCCGCCGUCUAGCUAAUGCGCCGCAUGCCCAUCCCUGUCCGGAUCGCUCCUUUCCUCCCAAGGGGAUGCCCCUCCGGAUGUACGCGGGUUUAGCCCACUUUCGGUGGUUGUCCCCCUGACAGGGGCAGGUUGCAUACGUGUUACUCACCCGUGCGCCGGUCGCCGGCGGGAUGAGCAAGCUCAUCCCCGCUACCCCGCGACUUGCAUGUGUUAAGCCUGCCGCUAGCGUUCAUCCUGAGCCAGGAUCAAACUCU
rnacentral:rRNA from 1 species